CUGUAAAUUACGAUGGCCGGGAUAUGCAAAACAGCAUUACAAAGUGUGAAACACUUUUACAAAGAUCGAGACAAAUUUACAUUUUAGAAAACAAAUUAACAAGAUGCAAAACACUUUUACAGUCCCAAAACAAAUCUA